rnacentral:rRNA from 1 species
AAUCAAGCGUUUAAGGGCGUGUGGCGGAUGCCUUGGCACUGAAAGCCGAUGAAGGACGUGGUAUACUGCGAUAAGUUUCGGGGAGCUGUAUGCAAGUUUUGAUCCGAAAAUUUCCGAAUGGGGAAACCCACCACUUUAUGUGGUACUUUAAACUGAAUUCAUAGGUUUAAAGAGACAACCUGGAGAACUGAAACAUCUAAGUAACCAGAGGAAAAGAAAUCAAUUGAGAUUCCGUUAGUAGUGGCGAGCGAAAGCGGAAUAGGCCAGUAAAUUUGUUAAAAAAAUUUGAAUAGUUUGGAAAAACUAACCACAGAGGGUGAUAGUCCCGUAUGAGUAAUGUUUAACAAAUUUCUUGAGUAAAGCGGGACACGUGAAAUCCUGCUCGAAUAUAGGGGGACCACCCUCUAAGCCUAAAUACUCUUCAGUGACCGAUAGUGAACUAGUACCGUGAGGGAAAGGUGAAAAGAACCCCUAUUAGGGGAGUGAAAUAGAACCUGAAACCGCAUGCCUACAAUCAGUCGAAGCUCUUUUUAGAGUGACGGCGUACCUUUUGUAUAAUGGGUCAGUGACUUAAUUUAUUAAGCAAGCUUAAGCCAUCUAGGUGUAGGCGCAGCGAAAGCAAGUCUUAAUAGGGCGAUUAGUUUAAUGAAUUAGACCCGAAAACGAAUGAGCUUACCAUGAGCAGGUUGAAAGCAAGGUAACACUUGCCGGAGGACCGAACCAGUUGACGUUGAAAAGUCUUUGGAUGACUUGUGGUAAGGGGUGAAAGGCCAACCAAAUUCGUAGAUAGCUGGUUUUCCGCGAAAACUAUUUAGGUAGUGCGAUGAAUAAAUAUACGUUUAGAGGUAGAGCACUAAAUGGGCUAGGGGGAAGAGAUUCUUACCAAACCUAAUAAAACUCCGAAUGCUAAACGUAGUUCUUCAUCAGACAGACUGUGGGUGCUAAGGUCCAUGGUCGAGAGGGAAAAAGCCCAGACCACCAGAUAAGGUCCCGAAAUUGUGAUUAAGUGUGAAAGGAUGUGGAAAUUCCUUAACAGCCGGGAGGUUGGCUUAGAAGCAGCCAUCCUUUAAAGAUAGCGUAACAGCUCACCGGUCUAAUAGAGUUUCUGCGCCGAAGAUGUAACGGGGCUAAAAUCACAUACCGAAUCUGUGGGUUUAUAAAAUUUUCGAAUUUUAUAAGCGGUAGCGGAACGUUCUGUAAGCCUGUAAAGGGAUACCCGUGAGGGAUCCUGGAGGUAUCAGAAGUGCGAAUGCUGACAUAAGUAACGAUAAACGAAGUGAAAAACUUCGUCGCCGAAAAUCUAAGGGUUUCUGCGCAAGGUUAAUCCGCGCAGAGUUAGUCGGCCCCUAAGGCGAGGGCGAAAGCCGUAGUCGAUGGAAAUAAGGUUAAUAUUCCUUAACCAGAUGGAAGUGACGGAUUUUGUAAGUUGUGAGUUCUUAAUGGAUUGAACUUGCCGCGAAAAAGUCCCAGGAAAUAGCUCCAUCAUUAGACCGUACCCUAAACCGACACAGGUGGAUUAAUAGAGUAUAUUUAGGCGCUUGAGAGAAUGAUGUUGAAGGAACUCGGCAAAAUGCUUCUGUAACUUCGGAAUAAAGAAGACCUUUUUUUGGGCAACCAUUAAAAGGUGGCACAAGCCAGGGAGAAGCGACUGUUUAUCAAAAACACAGGGCUCUGCUAACACGUAAGUGGAUGUAUAGGGUCUGACGCCUGCCCGGUGCUGGAAGGUUAAUGCGAUGGGUGCAAGCUCAUUUCUGAAGCCCCAGUAAACGGCGGCCGUAACUAUAACGGUCCUAAGGUAGCGAAAUUCCUUGUCGGGUAAGUUCCGACCUGCAUGAAUGGCGUAACGAUUUCUCCGCUGUCUCCAACAUCAACUCAGUGAAAUUGAAUUCUCCGUGAAGAUGCGGAGUUCGCGUAGUUAGACGGAAAGACCCCGUGCACCUUUACUGCAACUUUACAUUGGUGUUAGGAAAAACAUAUUUAGCAUAGGAGGGAGACAUUGAAGCAAAGGCGUCAGCUUUUGUGGAGUCACCAGUGAAAUACCUCUUUUGUUUUUCUUGGCAUCUAACUGAUUGCCGUUAUCCGGCAUCAAGACAUUGUAUGGUGGGUAGUUUGACUGGGGCGGUCGCCUCCCAAAUAGUAACGGAGGCGUGCGAAGGUAAGCUCAGAACGGUCAGAAAUCGUUCGUAGAGUGCAAUGGCAUAAGCUUGCCUGACUGUGAGACUGACAAGUCGAGCAGAGUCGAAAGACGGUCAUAGUGAUCCGGUGGUUCUGAGUGGAAGGGC